UUUCAGAUUCAGCAGUUUUUUUUCUCGCAGUGUCAGUCAAAGAGGCCGAGCAGUCGCUUCGCUUUAAAAGAACCAAACGUCGAACGCCUUUCGUACCUCUCGGUUCCCCCCCGCACCCGUUGCCGAGAUCCGGCCUCCUCCUGCCGGGAUCGAAUUCGAUCCGCUGGAGAAGCUUGUCGGUGCCGCCGGAUCCAGCCGGGAUGCUGACCUGCAUCGCGUGCUCGAAGCAGCUCGGUGGCGGGCCCCUCCACGACCUGGCCACCGACGACGACGACCACGAUCCCGCCGGCGGGACGCCCAGCACCCGUCAGGCCAUCAAAUCCCUCACCGCCCAGGUGGGGGGUCAGCUCAAGGAUAUGGCGGUGAAGGCGUCGGGGGCGUACAGACACUGCAAGCCCUGUGCGGGGUCGGGGCGGCCCCACGGGGGAGGCACCGGCGGCGGCGCGGUGUAUGCGGACUCAGACGGGGCGACGGGGUCGGAUCGGUUCCACCACGCGUACCGGCGGGCGGUGGAAAGCACGGGGUCGACUCCGAGGGCGUACGGGAGGGAAAUGGAGGCGCGGCUGAGGGCGCUGUCGAGCGGGGAGGGGACGCCGUCGAUAAGCGGGCGGACGGAGACGGGGUCGUCGUGGGUGUUCAUGGAGGAGGAAGACGAACCCAAGGAGUGGGUGGCCCAGGUCGAAGCCGGGGUUCUCAUCACCUUCCUCUCUCUCCCCCAAGGGGGGAAUGACCUCAAGAGGAUUAGAUUCAGCCGGGAGAUGUUUAACAGGUGGCAAGCUCAACGUUGGUGGGCCGAGAACUACGACAAGGUCAUGGAGCUCUACAACGUCCAGAGGUUCAAUCGCCAGGAUGCCCCCCUCCCCAUCCCUCCUGGCUCCGAAGAUGAGAGCUCGAAGGAGGACAGCCCAGUGACCCCGCCGUUAAACAAAGAACGGCUUCCCCAUAACUUUCACAGGCCAUUGAUGGGUGGUGGCGGUGGUGGAGCGAUGGGUUACACAUCAUCAGACUCACUUGAGCACCGUUCCAGCCACCACUGCCACCACCAUCAUGGGCGCUAUUAUCAUGAUUCAGGUGGUCUGACAUCAACACUGAAGCUGUCAAGCAUCAGUGGAGCAAAGAUGGAGACAUCAUCGAUGGAUGCAUCGGUGCAAACAAGCUCAUCUCCGGCGGACCAAUCGGGGGAGCCAUCAGUGGCAGUGAGCAAUGCCAGUGACCAGGAGAGGGAGUGGGUGGAGGAGGAUGCGCCCGGGGUUUAUAUUACCAUCCAGGGGCUUCCUGGUGGCAUUAGAGAGCUCCGCCGUGUACGGUUCAGGUACUCCGUCCUUUUCCUGUUCUAAACUGUAAACGAAUGGGCGGGCUAUGACUGAAGUAUUGAAGCAAGCACCAGAGACAAAUGAGGAGCGGAAGGAUUAGUAGGGCUCAUUUACUAUGCCGGGAGAGAUUUGGCGAGUUGCAUGCAAGGAUGUGGUGGGAGGAGAACCGAGCUCGGAUUCAUGAACAGUAUCUAUGACAAGGGAGAAAAGGGAGGUGCUAAAGAAGCAGCAGCUGCUGCAUUGAGAGGUCUUUGCGUCCAUUUGCCUUCAUCUGCUUUCGGUGAAGUCUCAAGCUUCUUUCUUCGUCACUUCAUGUAUGAGCUAUAUGCAAACACUGAGCACUGGCAUUGAGCAGCAGCCUUUUCCCUUCCUCAAAGGCCUGAUGGCUUCUGGUCGUGCAUUAACUUAUGCUCCUGGUGAAGCUGGAAUAGAAAGCACAAGCAUGCUUUCUUGGGCGAAAAAUGUGUUUUUGAUUGUUUACUGUAGCCUCGUUUCUUAUGCUUUGUCAUUUAUGCUUUUCCUACAUGUCGUGCACAUUGUGUGGAAGAAUAUUUGGGGAAAUUUGAAUGAGGGUGCUUGUUGUUGAUGUAGAAGGAAGGCUUUGUAUCAUGAAUGAGUGAAGAUGUUAUAUGAUCCCCUGCUGAAAGUGUCA